UUGAGGUGAAACAAUCAUUUUAAUCAGACAUUUUUAAUGGUCACAAUGUGGAGGCAAACUAUUUUAUUUUAUACUCCCAGUGCUGCCUGUGCCUGUGCCUUUCUUUUUUUUUUUUUAUUUUGUGUUUGAUUCUUUUAUUAAACCAACUCAUCUGUAACAUUUUUCUUUCUUUUUUUUUUUUUAAACCCAAGCAUCCGAUCACUCCAUGGGGGAGGACUGCUGGAGGGGUCUCAAGAUUCGGCGGACCCAAAAUGAAUGUUGGUGGAGAGAAUGACACGGAGACCACCAAAAACACAGAAACAAAGGAAUCUUGUGUGGGCUGAGGAGAGCACAAAAGCGGUAAAAUGGCGCCCAUCAUCGAUAUCAGACUGCAGUCAUGACAUUUGAGAAGCUUCGGGAGAGGAGCUGCACAAAUCCUCAACUGAAAGACGCAAACCCCAACUCAACAUCACAGACGACUUAAGAAUCGAGAAUGGAGGGCUGACUGAAGCAGCAUAUUGUUGUUACAAGAGAUUAUUGCCACCUCCCCAGAGUACCAACAAGCAACGUGAACAACACAAGACCAGAAUCCCCCGGUUCAUCCAUAAUAGAUCAAGCGAUGUGCUAGCUGCUCGUAACGGAUCACCCUCGGAAAAGGGGCCUUAAACGACUCGCCGCAUCUUGGCGCUCGUUCCAGCGAGAGGAUCGAGGACCCAUAUGACAAGGAUUGGGAAGCCGAGGCAGAACAAAGCUGCUCAAAUAUUGAUCGCUGGUGGAGGUGUGGGGUGUCUUUGAGGUGUUUAGUCUCAGUCAGACAGCCGCCCGUGGGACUUGGUGGCGGGUUUAAAAGGCUAUGCAGCCAAGAGUGUAAGUGCAGGCAGGCUUCGUGUGCUUUAUCCACCUUCCGCUGUUGAUUCAGGCAGAACAGAAGAGCCACAAGUCCUCUGAGGGAAUGGUGCAUCACCAGAACCGUCGCAUUGAUCAGUGAGGAUUGAAUGAGUUGGGUACUGAAAUCAUUGGAGGCCAUCCAACUUACUUCUCCCGAGCCAACUUUUUAUUUCUGCAGGCAUACAAACAAAAUUGUGACAGAAGCAGAGUGACUAUCUAGUUGAUUUAAUCUAAUCAAGCACCCAUUAUAUUAAGUCUAAUGUUACUCUUAACGACCAAUGGCCUUAUUAAAUGUGUAUGACAAAAACCUGCAAACCUUAAAAAAAAAUAACAGAAAUAAAAAUACAUUUAGCAACUUGUUUCACAUUUGGAAUGCCUACAAAUGGUUGUUUUCUGAAGCGUGAACAUAAUGACGGGACACGCAUAUUAUCAGGGGCAGGUUGGAAAAUGAAAGCACUUGCUUGGCUCCGCAGCUCAUCUGGCUGUUCUCUAAUUAAACGAAACUUUUUUUGAUGAGCCCCCAACUUCUACUUCACCUAGGUAAGCUGCCAACGCCGCUCCGCCUUGCUUCCCGUGCUCUCAGAGCUGAUUUGGAUGACUGCCACCGAUUCCCUGCAUGUCAACACAGCAUCAGGUGCAUUUCGACUCAUUCCGUGCCCAUUUCAAAUUUCCAUCCUCGGUACUGCGGGCUGCUGAAGGGCGACGGCUGGCCAAACAUCUCCACUUUGCCAGAGUGCCGGCACAAGCCGCAGAUGCACACGGGAACACGGGGUCCCUUCACCCUGCUGGCACGAGCCCCGGCCUGGCCAUCUGGUGCUUCAAGAACGGGUGCCAGUCACCCAUCACGCCUGCCCUCCUAUCUUCCUGAAAGACACGGCCCUCCGACGCGAAGGUCCUUCCACCGGCUUCACAGCUCCUCACCGCCUCUCUGCCAACGUACUUAUCUCCCACCGGGGACACUGCCCACAAAACAGCAGAGUGCCAGCGUGUUAGAGUUGUUCAGAAUCAGCUCGCGUGUGCAAAGUGGAGCCCCGCGCGGAGCUGGGAUGUCCUGAAUAAGUGAACUCGGCUUGCCAUUUUGGCUGCUCCAGAAAAAGAAGAAUGUCUGUUGAAUGCACAAUCACUCGCCGCUUUGUCUUGUCCAUUCACGCCAUGCUUGAAGAGGCGUAAAUGUAUCGCCGGGGAAGACAGGCUUGUGUCAACACUCGCAUCAAUCCAUCCCCUGUCACUCAAAGAUGCCAUGAAAGAAACCACAACUGGGAACGGAGGACGGAGACAUUGAUUUGACUGAUGAAAUUCCCCUCGACAUUAGCACGUUCGACGAAGCCCGUCGAUAUAGCAGAAGUCCUUUCUUCUAUCAGACAAGUUGUCCUUAAAAGUGAUGUCACACGAGUACCCUCUACUCAAUGCCGAUACAAAACUGAACAAAAUAUCAGAUUUAUUUCCCUAUCGGGUUUCCUACAUUUAGCCUACCUUUGUCUUCGAGUGGGUGUGCGUUACACUCUUGUGUGUUUUCAAGUCGCAGGUUGAUCAGAAAGCUGAUGUGCAGUUGUUCUUGACUGCAUUAACUCACCUUGCACAGACAAUUAUCUCAUGAUUUCUGAUGAGUCGGUCCCGUGCUUCAAAAUGUUAAAGCAUGUUUUGCAACCCACUGAUGGUCUUAUCUGGAAAUUCCUAACUACUUCCAUUUGCUCCGCAGUCACGCACGGUUAUAUCUAAAACUUGUGAAGAUGGCGUAAGCCAGACCGUCGACUCGACGCCAGCCGGAUUUUCUCGCUAUUUGAUCCGUUUUAGAUUUGUGUUCUUAAUGUAAGCUUCGCACCUGGACCAAAUUCCAGAAAACUGUUUGCACGUGUGAUGGAUCUUUGACUUUAACACACAUUCUUCUUCAGCAGACUUUGUUAACGGCACUUAUUAGCCUUGCCAUCUUCCUCCUCCUCCAACAGCAUCUAAGUAGCUCUUCAAAGAUAGCGUGCGCCCCCCAUUGUAUUCCAGCAAACAAACGCCACUACAUUGCCCUUUAGACCUUUUAAAGAUGAACGGAGGCGAAAGUCGCCAGGAGAAUAUAACACGGGGAUGCAUUUGUUGUGUUUGAUAUCAUCGACAUGGAGAGGACAAUCGAGGCGCAGAGGGACGUCUCAAUGGGAGAGUUCACGACAAAUGUUUUUAGCACAAAUACGCCACUUUGUUCCCUUUGCUGGGAUCUCUCGAUGUGAAGAGAGCAAGUGAUUGCGGUGCUAGAGUUUGGGAGAAUGUUUGCGUCACCAAGUGGAGUAAUCACCACUUUAACGAUGUAAAGGUGCCGUUCAACGUUUGAUGGCUUUCAGCUAAGAAGUGACGCCGUUUGCUGACGUUUCAUCGUUUAAGUUGGUUUAAGCCAGUUACUGCUUUCUGGUACCAGGAAAUGACAGUUUCCAAUCAUGGCUAUGAAGCACCGAGGCAACUUCACUCUGUGGCGAGAAAGUACGAGUUUUCUUUGGUUGGUCUUUGGAGUUGAUUUAUUACAUACUAAACGAAACUUUUGUUAGCUGAGGAUAUUACAUUUGCGACACAGUGAAGAGUGUGUCGCAUCUCGUGAAAUGCGAUUUCUAUGUUUUGUUGUGUGAACCUAAACUUUUGACCAGUAUUAUAUUUGCCUCGCUGCAUUUGUGUUUGAAAAUGUGCCACCUACAGGGAACUGCACACCUAAUUUACAAGGGAAGCUUGGUGAUGAAGUGUUGCCCUCCCAGGUGAGAGUCUUCAGAAUCAGUCAGCAGAAGGACAGCUCGGCCCUUUGAGAAAGACGCAUUCAGAAUGAACACUUUGGAAUGCUGAAACACUACCGCUGCUCCAUUUCAAACUGGCUUCAUCAAACAUUCGAUGAAGGUGGAUUGGCCAGAGGGGGAGCUCGGUUUACCACCUGUUGGGGCAGUUCCUGUUACUUAACAAAGUGCGGAUGACAAUGGGGGUGAUGUGGUGAGUUCAUUGAUUCCAUUGUGAUUCUUUUAUUUUUUUUAUGGAUGACGAAUGGAAAUCUUUGUUGAAGAGCAUUUGCAUGAUGACACGGUCACAUUCCUGAACACAAUUGCAAUUUAAAAAAUACUUUUUUUGUUCUACUGACCUUCUUUGUGCGGUUCUCCACCUCCCCAAAAAUCAUUUGUCUCAUGUCAAAGUUAAACUCCUUUUGACCUAGUUAUUGGGCAACCUUUAAAACUAAAAUAUUGGUUUAAGCCACCGAAGCUUGCUAAUGGCAGUGACUUUUAAAAUUUAUAACCUGCAUCAUUGUUACACUUUAACAUCCAAGUAAACAUUUACGGAAUCAAGGUUUGUGCUAAUUUUACUUCUGAAACCUUGAGAGGAGAACCCGUAAGGUUGAACAAAGUCCAUUGGGGGAAACGCCGGUAUUGAUUUUCCAGUUCCAGGGUCAGAUACGCCGUCCCUGUUUUUUUUCCUCUCCGUUGCAAUCAGAUCUUUUGCCGUAGUUGCCAUCAUGCUGAUCUUUGUUUUCCCUUGCAACAGCAACGUAACAGAUUGCAGUCAUAGGGUCUCAACUCGGGGUUUUGGUGCAAUUUUACGGGUGUUUUAGUUUUCUCAAAAUGAUGGUCCGCCCAUAAAUGGCAGAGGUUCCACUGUU